rnacentral:rRNA from 1 species
UACGGAGGGUGCUAGCGUUAUUCGGAAUUACUGGGCGUAAAGCGCGCGUAGGCGGCUUUGUAAGUUAGAGGUGAAAGCCCGGAGCUUAACUCCAGAACUGCCUUUAAGACUGCAUCGCUUGAAUCCGGGAGAGGUGGGUGGAAUUCCAAGUGUAGAGGUGAAAUUCGUAGAUAUUCGGAAGAACACCAGUGGCGAAGGCGGCUCACUGGACCGGUAUUGACGCUGAGGUGCGAAAGCGUGGGGAGCAAACAGG